rnacentral:lncRNA from 1 species
AGCCGGGAAGGAGGGGAGCGGAGGCCCGACAUGGGCAGGCCGGUGAAGAGAGCCGGGAUCCCUGGGUGGACCUGUCUUCAGCUUCCCUGUGAGCCGGGCUGCUAGCCUGCAGGACGCCCCGACUUGCCCACACCCCAACACUGGACAAAGCAGAAAUCCGGGGAACCCGAUGCCGAGCCUGGUGGCCCAUCUACAGCACAGUCUUCUGGGGCUCCAUCCUGCCACAAGGAAGCUGGAGUUCGGGGUCCCAGCAUGGAACUGCAGAGGGCCUGGCAGGCGGAGCCCGUGGAGAGACUUCACUAUUGGCUCGCUCCACUUUUUACAGUCUUUCAUUCCUCGCAAAGUUCUCAGAAGUGCCCCUCCGAUAGAGGAAAGUUAGAGGAAGGAGUCUGGUCGUCCUGGAUGCAAGAAUAAGGUUAGAGAGGUUGAGUUAAUGUUUGAGGCAUCAUUCCUUACAUGCUCCAGAGCACAGAUUCUUAACUUGCAAUCUGAGGACUUUUCAACGACAAGGUAUGGCCUACUACCUUCCUUUCUGUAUGAUCUGGGCAAACCGACCGGUGGUGGCAAGAGUAGUGUCAAUGAAGUGAUCCACACAGCAAGAGAGGCAGUUUCAGUGCGGGAGUCUAGCUGAUUUCCUGGCUUCUCCAUGCACUUAUCUCAACAUAGUUCCACGAAGUGAUGCACCUGCGCAGUGAACCCUGCCUUCUGCUGCUCGACAGCCACCAGGCUUUGUAACUCAGUUUCACCAAGCUCUGCCAUUGUCAGCGUCAAGAGCUUCGCUGUGGUACGCAUGCGUGGUCCUGAAAGCAACUUUUGCACUUUAUCAUCAACUCUAAGAUACUCAGGGGCUUCUAUCAAUGAUGAGACACAUCUGCAGAAACCCAUACUCCUUCCAUAGGAUCACACGAUCCUUGUCCAAGGGCGAACACACAGAACAUUGUUCAAACCAUACCAAUCCUGACCGGAGAGAACAGAGACAAACUGACUCACAGGAGAGAGGACCUAAGUACUUUAAUACAUUUUUUGAAAUUAUUAUAAAUUAUUUUACAAUAUCCAGAGCAAAUGAAACUAAUUUAAAAUAUUUUGUAAUACACAAGUCCCCAGAAAUACUUUGUGAAGUUAAAAAUAAAAUUUAAAAAAAUGGUCUUGCCAAAUUUCACUACAAAUCAUGAAUGCUAUUUCAAAAAUAAGAAAACAACAACAGCAGCAGCAAAAACAACAACUAAAACAAAAACAACAAAGAAAUAGAAGAUAUGAGGAUGUUUUCAAAAUUAAACCUUUAGAGAUAAUUGUCUUGGCACAGCUGCAGUUCCAGUUCUGAAGGCUAAUGCAGGAGUUUGAUGAAUUUCAGGGCAACUACGGCUGUGAUGACAGUAUACAAAGAUGAAACACAAUAAAAAUACACAUGAAUGAAACUAAGGCUCUAUAAUACUAAUAUUAGAAGAUAAACACAAAAUUUAUCUUUCCAUUCUUCUUUCUGUGGUGAUAAGAUGGGAAGUGAGCAGUGAUUUUAAUUAUGUUUACUUUUUAUUUGUUUAUUUUAUUUAUUUACAUUUCAAAUGUUAUUCCCCUUCCAAGUUUCCCCUCUGCAACCCACCUGUCCCAUUCCCUGUCCCCCUGCUCUAAGAGGGUGCUUCCUCACCCAUCCACUCCCUCCUCACCCCUCUCAUAUCCUCCCACCCCCCCCAUGCUUGGGCAUCUAUCCUCCACAGAACCAAGCCCCACCCACCCACCAAUUGAUGACCAACAAGGCCAUCCUCUGCUACAUCUGCAGCUGGAGCCUGGGUCCCUCCAUGUGUAUUCUUUGGUUGGUGGUUUAGUCUCAGGGAGAUCUUGUGGUGGGGGGAUCUGGUUGGUUAAUAGUUGUUCUUCCUAUGGGGUUGCAAACCCCUUCAGCUUCUUCAGUCCUUCCUCUAUCUCCUCCAUUGGAGUCCCAUGCCCAGUCAGAUAGUUGGCUGCAAGAAUCCACAUUUUGUUAUUCAAGUAUUCCUUAACUAUGGCAUUGACAAAGAAACCCAGAGAAGUUCACACAAUGCCAUUUUCCUAAUGGUCAAAAUCAAUUAAAACU